GGUAAAAAAGCUCGUAGUUGGAUUUCUUCUGAGAAUGAGCGGUCUACACCAUGUGUACGCAUCUGCUUCAGUCUCGGAAUCUUCGCAGAAUACGUCUCUGCGCUUGAUUGCGUGGAACGGACUCUGUGACUUUUACUUUGAGGAAAUUAGAGUGUUCACGGCAGGCUAUCGCCAGAAUACAUUAGCAUGGAAUAAUAAUAUAGGAUCUCGAUUCUAUUUUGUUGGUUUCUAGAAGCGAGAUAAUGAUUAAUAGGGACAAUUGGGGGCAUUCGUAUCAACACGUCAGAGGUGGAAUUCUUGGAUUGUGUUGCGACGAACUACUGCGAAAGCAUUUGCCAAGGAUGUUUUCAUUGAUCAAGAACGAAAGUAAGGGGGUCGAAGACGAUUAGAUACCGUCGUAGUCUUUACCAUAAACUAUGCCAACUAGAGAUGGGUGAUCGUUCACUUACGACUUCAUCUGCACCUUAUGAGAUAUCAAAGUUUUUGGGUUCCGGGGGGAGUACGGUCGCAAGUCUGAAACUUAAAGGAAUUGACGGAAGGGCACCACCAGGAGUGGAGCCUGUGGCUUAAUUUGACUCAACACGGGGAAACUCACCAGGUCCAGACAUAAUAAGGAUUGACAGAUUGAUAGCUCUUUCUUGAUUUUAUGGGUGGUGGUGCAUGGCCGUUCUUAGUUCGUGGAGUGAUUUGUCUGCUUAAUCGCGUUAAC
rnacentral:rRNA from 1 species